rnacentral:rRNA from 1 species
UACAGAGGUCUUAAGCGUUGUUCGGAUUCAUUGGGCGUAAAGGGUGCGUAGGUGGCGCGCUAAGUCAGGUGUGAAAUUUCGGAGCUUAACUCCGAAACUGCAUUUGAUACUGGCGUGCUUGAGGACUGGAGAGGAGACUGGAAUUUACGGUGUAGCGGUGAAAUGCGUAGAUAUCGUAAGGAAGACCAGUGGCGAAGGCGGGUCUCUGGACAGUUCCUGACGCUGAGGCACGAAGGUCAGGGGAGCAAACGGG